GCCAGAUUCUAGCAGUUCAUUGUCCUGAAAAAUUGGAAGGCAAGAUUCAGGGCACAGGAAAAUGCCAACAGAUUGUCUGCCUUUAUAUACAUCUGAAUACACUCUCCUUCCAACAAAAGAUUAAGGUGGCUUCAAGUCAGUUCAAUCUAUGAAUCUACUCUUUAAAAUAUAAUAAUAAUGAUUCCAUACUUAGAGAUGUGCACCACCCAAAGCCACCCCAUUUCUUUUGAGAAUUAAAUCAAAAGCUCUGUGGGGUAAAAGCAAGGGCAAUUAACAUUUCCUAACACAAUGCAUUCUAUCUUCCUGAGAAAGUACAAUAAAUGAUAGUGAUAAAUGUUCAUCGGUAUUCGUUGCUGCCAAAGUGGUCCACCCUUUCUUUGGAAUAAUUAGUUGAUGUAUGAAACAUAGCGUAGUGUUGGCAAAAUGGUUAAGAAAGUUUUGAAAGCAAUAAGAUGGAAGAGAUUGAAAUUUCAAAUUAAGAAGCAAACAUCUCAUGCUCAUUUUCUAAUAUCAUAAGGCAGCUUUCAUGUGACUCUUCUGUUCACUAAAAGUAAGAAAUCACACUUCAAUCUGCCUCAACCUAAACACAGAGCUCUUCAACUAAUGCAGAAGACCUAUAGCUGGAAAGAAAAGCUACAAAAACACAAUAUUAAACAAUCUUACUUGAGCUGAUGAACCAUGUUGUG
rnacentral:misc_RNA from 1 species